rnacentral:rRNA from 1 species
GACGAACGCUGGCGGCGUGCCUAAUACAUGCAAGUCGAACGCAGUGGGGACGGGUGAGUAACACGUGGGUAACCUCCCAUCAGAGGGGAUAACACUUGGAAACAGGUGCUAAACCGAUACUGAUGGAUGGACCCGCGGUGCAUUAGAUAGUUGGUGAGGUAACGGCUCACCAAGGCCACGAUGCAUAGCAGACCUGAGAGGGUGAUCAUCGAGACUGGGACUGAGACGAGACCCAGACUUCUACGGGCGGCAGCAGUAGGGAAUCUUCGGCAGUGGAGGAAAGUCUGACCGAGCAACGGCGCGAGGGUGAAGAAGUUUUUCGGAUCGUAAACCAGUGAGGUGAGAGGAGCGGUAUGUAACCAGAGGGCUCCGGCUAACUACGUGCCAGCAGCCGCGGUAAUUC